AUGACAGAAACGUUGUGAGAGCUGUGAAGAAAAACCUCAAAAGCAACGGUCAGUGACAUCAUCAACCUCCUCCACAGGGCAUGGUGAGGAUAUCUCAAUCCACCGUCCUGAAGGAGACACCACAAGAUACAGACCGCUCAUCAGCAGUAAGAAUCAGAAAUCCAGAUUAGCAUUCAAUAAAAAAAUACAGAGGAGAUCCACAAAAAUUCUGGAACCAAGAUGAACCUCCACCAGAGUGAUGGAAAGACCAAAGUGUGGAGAAAGAAAGAAUCUGCUCAUGAUCCAACACAUACAAGCUCAUCUGUCUUCCAAUUUACAAAGAAAUGCAUCCAAAUGGAUCAGGAGGAACUUUAUCAUGCAGCAAGACAACCAUCCAAAACACUCUGCCAACAAGACACAGGACUUCAUCAGGGGAAAAGUGGUUUUGACUGGCCAAGUCAAUCACCAGACCUUCACCUCACCCCCGGAAGAGGAGACUGAAGGGAGAAACCCCCCGAAACUGAAAGAGGCUGUGGUUAAAACCUGGAGAAGCUUCACAGAAGAAGAAAUCAGCAGUUUGGUGAAUGCGGUGCGUCGCAGGAUCGACGCAGUCACUGCAGGCCUGUGUUAGAGCGCCGUGCCUAAAAGAGUUCUCCCUGACGGACGCUACUUCAUUCCUACGAUUGAAAAGCAAUGAAAGAGACGUUCAUCACAAGCGGAACAGCGAUGGGAACCGCCCAAACGUGACGUCUCUUUCCAUCUGUUAGCUGACAGGAUCGCCGUCCUAGCGAGCGCUUCUCUUGCCCUGGUGAGAAAAUACUGUUCUGUACUGCAGUGAGAGCUGACAGACACGCCAACGGCUUCGGGGGGAAAAGCAAACAGCAACAAAAAACAAACAGGUAAUUAACGAGGGAAGAGAAUCUGAAGACAAGAGAAAAAAAAAAAAAAAAAGAGUCUGACUUAUUUCCAGGUGUGUAUGAGAACGUAUUGUCUAUCGACGACACGUUGAUGAUGUUUAAGAGGAAAAAAUCACUUCAGGAUGUGCUCUUACAGGAAAAUAAUCAAAGAAGCAGAGCCACUGUUACCACAGACGAUCACAACCGGUUAAUCGGUUUAUUAUUUUCGGAGAUUCCACCGGACGAGUCGCUGUGAACCAGAUGUGGAGAAACU
ensembl:lncRNA